AUUGAAAUCUGGCGGCAGGCCUAACACCUGCAAGUCGAGCGGAGCGGCGGACGGGUGCGUAAUGCCUAGGAAUCUGCCUGGUAGUGGGGGAUAACGUCCGGAAACGGGCGCUAAUACCUCAUAGUAUCAGAUUAGCCUGGGGCUGAUUAGCUAGCUGGUGGGGUAACGGCCGACCAAGGAGACGAUCCGUAAAUGGUCUGAGCGGAUGAUAAGUCACACUGGAACUGAGACACGGUCCAGACUCCUACGGGAGUCAGCAGUGGGGAAUAUUGGACAAUGGGCGAAAGCCUGAUCCAGCCAUGCCGCGUGUGUGAAGAAGGUCUUCGGAUUGUAAAGCACUUUAAGUUGGGAGGCGUUACCAACAGAAUAAGCACCGGCUAACUUCGUGCCAGCAGCCGCGGUAAUAC
rnacentral:rRNA from 1 species